UUCUGUUUUCAUACUUUUUGUUGUACAUAUGUAAGAGUUUUAUCUGCUUGUUCGUGUGUGCAAUACAUCCAUGCCUAGUGUCCAGGAGGUUUAAGAGGGUGUGAGAUUCCAUGAUGCUGAAAUUACAGCCACUUGUGAACUGUCACUUGGGAGCUAGGGUUCGGUCCUGAAUUCUCUUGAAGAACACAUAAUGUUAUUAAUCACCAAAUCAUUUCUUCAUCUUAAGCAAAUGCCACUUCUUGUAAAAAUAGUUCCUAAGCUGUCCUGUCUUCACCAUAGACCACUGUUUUCUCAAAUGUGAUAAUUUAUUAAACACACACCCACCUGCUUCUUACCUUCAUAUAUAUUCACACAAACACACAUACAAACAGAAACACACACACUCACACACAGAGACACACGCACAACUGCUCUUACCUUCAAGUUUACUUACAUACUUACUUACACACACACACACAUACACACACACACACACACACACACACACCUGCUUCUUACCUUCAAGUAGACUUAGUUAUUUUCACAUUAAUUUGUUUAUUUAUUCACUUUACAUGCUGCACCCUGCCCCCCUCCAGUUCACCCCUCUCACAAUCCUUUGCCCAUCCCUUUCUCUUUAGAGCAGGAGGGGAACCCUCGGGUAGCUCCUCCCCUUGCAUAUCCAGUCUCUAUGAUCACAUCCUCUGAUACUGAGGCCAGACACAGCAGCCUAGAUGGAUUGGGGUGGGGAGCUAGAAGUGAUUUCCAGAAAGAGGCAGAGAGCUGGGGUAAGAGAUGCCCAUUAAUCAAUGGGUGUUUCCUUAGCUGAGAAUCAGUCUCAGUGAUAUGGACCUAAAGAAGCCAUCUGCUGUCGCCAGAGAGCAACCCAAAUGGAAUGAUAAAGAGACACCAACUUUAGACACAAAAUUCAUUCUGACCACAAGAAAUGAAAGGGCUGUGCAUAGAGAAGAUAGUGAAAAAUGAUCAACCAAUGGUUACUGCAGAUUGAGACACAAUGGAUGAGCACCGAUCCCUUACACUAUUAAUGUGACUCUGUUAUGCUUGCAGACAGCAGUCUAGCAUGGCUUCCCUCUGUGAGAUUCCACUAAGCUGCUGACUCAGACAGAAGCAGGCAUCAUCUAGUCAAACCACGGUGGAGCUUGGGGACUCUGAUGGAAGAAGAGAAUGAAAAGGAUUAUGGCCUCUAAGGAUAUAGGCACUCCACAGGCUUUGUCUUCAUGCAGGCUAUGGUGUUGUGAAGACAAGAUACCACAUGUGCAGCUGUGAAUAAGUCUGAGAAGGCUGACUUCUUGGAUUUCUGAAGCAUUACUAAGUGAUCCAGAGGAAAUCAGCACCCCCUGCUCAGCAGAGCUCUGGGAAUGCUGACACUCUUGCUUCAUGUUUAUAUUAACCUAGGUCAAAAGAUCACCUGUCAGGGUCUCCAGGGAAGGCAUCAUCCCAACCUUCCAGCAUCAGUGAGCAAGUGCAACAGAUUAAGAAGUUUGUAGAAAUUGACUAAGGAGCUCCAGAAGAUGACAUGGUUUGCUGGGAAGGCAUCAUGCCAACCUUUCACCAUCAGUGAGAAAGUACAGCACAUUAAGAAGUUGGAGAAACUGACUAUUGAGCUCAAGAAGAAAACCUAAAAGAAGAAGGUGUGUUUGAAUAACAGUGGAGAUAUGGCAAGCAAUGUGUGAGCUCUCAUCCUGGAUUUUAAUAGAAAAAAAUGGAUUUUCUGUCCUCAGAGGAACACAGAAAGCUGGUAAGCUACAGAAGCAUAGUAACUUAGACUUAGAUAAGAAAACUUUUGAUUUUUAUUUAUUUUAAAGAUUUAAUUUAUUUUAUUUUUAAGAGUAUACUUUACUUGUCAGACACACCAGAAGAGGGCAUCAGAUGACAUUAUAGAUGAUUGUAUGCCAUGAUGUGUACACUUGGAAUUGAACUCAUGACCUUUGGAAAAAACAGGCAGUACUCUUAAUUGCUGAAUAAUCUUCCCAGCCUAAACUAUUUCUCCUUCCUCUUCUUCUUCUUCUUCUUCUUCUUCUUCUUCUUCUUCUUCUUCUUCUUCUUCUUCUUCUUCUCCUCCUCCUCCUCCUCCUCC